UAGAGGACAGUAUCAUCCACUCCAAUGUAUUCUUUGUAUACAAACUGCAGGGAAUCCAGUUUGUCUUUGAUCUCAGACCUCAGAGGGCAUAGAAUCAGCCGCUCCAGGGUUUUCAUGAUGUGUGAAGUGAGGGCCACUGGUCUGUAGUCAAUGAGUUCAGCAGGACAUUUUGUUUUUGGUACUGGCACAAUGCAGGAUGUUUUCCACAGAGUAGGUACCCAUCCCAGGUCAUUUACUGUGAAAAGCCAUCAGAUUUUGAAGGACACCAUGGCCACGCCCUUUGAACUGAACAGAUGAUUUUUUGAUAUGGUCUUCUUCAAGGUCUAUCUAACAGAGUGGAAGAGAAAUAACAUCAAUAGUGUAAAUGGUUUCCUUUGGAGGAGGCCAUUUGUAGGCGCUUACAAAAAGCCCUACUUGUGUUUGAGGGGGCACUAUUGCCAGACCAAGCCUCAUUACGAAUAGUUGUACAGCAUUGUUAAAGUAGACUACUGUGGGUACCUCAGGCUGCAGUUUCAGCUUUCUAUUCGUAAAUUACUAGGAGGAGUUUUGAAAACACCAUAAAAAGGGGCCGAAAAAUCUUAAAAUAUCAAUAUUCAAACUAAAAUAGCUGACUAACAGUUGGGCGUGGCCCAUGGGUCUAAUAGGCUUUUUGUUCAUCUUGCAGUCCAACGUGCCAUUGAUUCCAUAAGUUUGGGUCACACACGGGGGAGGGGCUUAAUUUUUUAAAUUUUGUAGGGGGCGCUAUGUAACGAAACAAGAUGCUGUUUUUCUAGCUUAUCUGGUACCCUAUCAGGUGUGUCCUGAACAAAUCUCAGUUGCAUCCCAUCAAUAAAGAGGUUGCAGGCCAUUGACCGAAAAUGCAUUUCCCUCUGCCACUCAUGAUUAUUUGUACGUUUUAUAUCAAUAUGUAUUUAUACAGGAAACCCCCCAAGCAUGAAAACUGUAGAGUGCACUAGAGAGCCUUUUCUAUAGGGGCAUGGCAAAAUAUUUGCAUUUGACCCAGGCCUGACCCACCUGCCAAAUUUCUGAAGUUUUCUUGCCCAUCUAGAGGGUGAAAAGGUUGAAAAAACAUUAAGGUUUAUAAUAACAUCAAUAAUCAUUUUCAGAAAAAUAAUACUGCAUCUGACUUGCAGCCAGCUGAGAAGAACAACAGAGAUAGUGGACUUCUUUUUCUUCAAUAUCUUUUACUUUCAAGGAGUCAGCAGCUUACAACAAAGGCAGCUUCCUCUGACUGAGGAGUUCAGAUUUUU